rnacentral:rRNA from 1 species
GGUUCAUUCAAAUUUCUGCCCUAUCAACUUUCGAUGGUAAGGUAUUGGCUUACCAUGGUUUCAACGGGUAACGGGGAAUUAGGGUUCGAUUCCGGAGAGGGAGCCUGAGAAACGGCUACCACAUCCAAGGAAGGCAGCAGGCGCGCAAAUUACCCAGUCCCGACCGGGGAGGUAGUGACAAUAAAUACUGAUACAGGGCUCUUUUGGGUCUUGUAAUUGGAAUGAGUACAAUUUAAACCCCUUAACGAGGAACAAUUGGAGGGCAAGUCUGGUGCCGGCAGCCGCGGUAAUUCCAGCUCCAAUAGCGUAUAUUAAAGUUGUUGCAGUUAAAAAGCUCGUAGUUG